rnacentral:lncRNA from 1 species
UGGUGUGAGUGGUCUUUUGACCUAUGGUGUCAUCAGCUAUUCGCAGUGAGACUCCUGAUUUGACUGUACGUUCUUUUGAUCCCUAGCCAUUCAGAUUCUUGCUGUGUAUGUUGGCUACAGUAGGUUCAGAUUCGCUAUUUGGAGUAGGAUACACCUAGAUAAAAUCUAUCGAUCUUAAUAGAAAAGAAGAAGUCCUAAAUAAUUCGCGAGAUUGAGUUCAAAAAAUCUUUGGUCAAAGCAAGUGUGAAUAGUAAAAAAAAAUUUUCACGAGAUUCAUAAGUGA